GAUGAACGCUAGCUACAGGCUUAACACAUGCAAGUCGAGGGGCAGCAGGGAUUUAGCUUGCUAAAUCCGCUGGCGACCGGCGCACGGGUGCGUAACGCGUAUCCAACUUUCCCGUUACUCAGGGAUAGCCUUCCGAAAGGGAGAUUAAUACCUGAUGGUGUUUGAAAUUCGCAUGUUCUUCAAACUAAAGAUUUAUCGGUAACGGAUAGGGAUGCGUGACAUUAGAUAGUAGGCGGGGUAACGGCGCACCUAGUCUACGAUGUCUAGGGGUUCUGAGAGGAAGGUCCCCCCACACUGGAACUGAGACACGGUCCAGACUCCUACGGGAGGCAGCAGUGAGGAAUAUUGGGUCAAUGGUCGGAAGACUGAACCAGCCAAGUAGCGUGAAGGAUGAAGGUUCUAUGGAUUGUAAACUUCUUUUAUAUAGGAAUAAACCUCCCACGUGUGGGAGCUUGUAUGUACUAUAUGAAUAAGCAUCGGCUAACGUCCGUGCCAG
rnacentral:rRNA from 1 species